AGAGUUUGAUCCUGGCUCAGGAUGAACGCUAGCUACAGGCUUAACACAUGCAAGUCGAGGGGAAACGAUAGAGAAAGCUUGCUUUUUCUAGGCGUCGACCGGCGCACGGGUGAGUAACGCGUAUCCAACCUGCCCACCACUUGGGGAUAACCUUGCGAAAGUAAGACUAAUACCCAAUGAUAUCUCUAGAAGACAUCUGAAGGAGAUUAAAGAUUUAUCGGUGAUGGAUGGGGAUGCGUCUGAUUAGCUUGUUGGCGGGGUAACGGCCCACCAAGGCAACGAUCAGUAGGGGUUCUGAGAGGAAGGUCCCCCACAUUGGAACUGAGACACGGUCCAAACUCCUACGGGAGGCAGCAGUGAGGAAUAUUGGUCAAUGGGCGAGAGCCUGAACCAGCCAAGUAGCGUGCAGGAUGACGGCCCUAUGGGUUGUAAACUGCUUUUAUAAGGGAAUAAAGUGAGUCUCGUGAGACUUUUUGCAUGUACCUUAUGAAUAAGGACCGGCUAAUUCCGUGCCAGCAGCCGCGGUAAUACGGAAGGUCCGGGCGUUAUCCGGAUUUAUUGGGUUUAAAGGGAGCGUAGGCCGGAGAUUAAGCGUGUUGUGAAAUGUAGUGGCUCAACCUCUGCACUGCAGCGCGAACUGGUCUUCUUGAGUACGCACAACGUGGGCGGAAUUCGUGGUGUAGCGGUGAAAUGCUUAGAUAUCACGAAGAACUCCGAUUGCGAAGGCAGCUCACGGGAGCGCAACUGACGCUGAAGCUCGAAAGUGCGGGUAUCGAACAGGAUUAGAUACCCUGGUAGUCCGCACGGUAAACGAUGGAUGCCCGCUGUUGGCCGAAAUUGGUCAGCGGACCAAGCGAAAGCAUAAGCGUCCCACCUGGGGAGGAUGCCGGCAACGGUGAAACUCAAAGGAAUUGACGGGGAGCCUGCACAAGCGGUGGAUUAUGUGGUUUAAUUCGAAGCAACGCGAAGAACCUUACCAGGGUUUGACAUCCUGCUAACGAAGUAGAGAUACAUUAGGUGCCCUUCGGGGAAAGCAGAGACAGGUGGUGCAUGGUUGUCGUCAGCUCGUGUCGUAAGAUGUUGGGUUAAGUCCCGCAACGAGCGCAACCCUUAUCUUCAGUAGCCAGCAUUUUGGAUGGGCACUCUGGAGAGACUGCCAGGGAUAACCUGGAGGAAGGUGGGGAUGACGUCAAAUCAUCAUGCCCCUUAUGAGCAGGGCUACACACGUGCUACAAUGGCGUAAACAAAGGGAAGCGAGCCUGCGAGGGUAAGCAAAUCUCAAAAAUAACGUCUCAGUUCGGAUUGUAGUCUGCAACUCGACUACAUGAAGCUGAAUCGCUAGUAAUCGCGAAUCAGCAUGUCGCGGUGAAUACGUUCCCGGGUCUUGCACACACCGCCCGUCAAG
rnacentral:rRNA from 1 species